rnacentral:rRNA from 1 species
CCUACGGGAGGCUGCAGUGGGGAAUAUUGGACAAUGGGGGGAACCCUGAUCCAGCCAUGCCGCGUGUGUGAAGAAGGCCCUCGGGUUGUAAAGCACUUUCAGUGAGGAAGAACGCCUGGUGGUUAAUACCCAUCAGGAAAGACAUCACUCACAGAAGAAGCACCGGCUAACUCCGUGCCAGCAGCCGCGGUAAUACGGAGGGUGCGAGCGUUAAUCGGAAUUACUGGGCGUAAAGCGCGCGUAGGUGGCUUGAUAAGCCGGUUGUGAAAGCCCCGGGCUCAACCUGGGAACGGCAUCCGGAACUGUUAAGCUAGAGUGCAGGAGAGGAAGGUAGAAUUCCCGGUGUAGCGGUGAAAUGCGUAGAGAUCGGGAGGAAUACCAGUGGCGAAGGCGGCCUUCUGGACUGACACUGACACUGAGGUGCGAAAGCGUGGGUAGCAAACAGGAUUAGAUACCCCGGUAGUC